CGCCCCCUGGAGCCGGGUCGGAGCGUGCGCAGAAGGUCAGAUACACUGUGCCCUCUUCCGGGUAGAACCAGCCUAGAGCGUUGACAGGUGUGUUAAAGCAAAAUCUGCUGCUUUGCCUGCUUCCGGUAUGACCAAACUUCACACUAGGCAUCUCACUGCUGUGGCCUCUCCCGUUGGGGAGCACAGGCUCCGGACGCGCAGGCUGAGCGGCCAUGGCUCACGGGCCCAGCCGCUCCGCGGCGUGUGGGAUCUUCCCGGACCGGGGCACGAACCCGUGUACCCUGCAUCGGCAGGCGGACUCUCAACCACUGCGCCACCAGGGAAGCCCUCCCCUCAGUUUUAAUAUUUGCCUUGCUGUGUGUAAUGGUAUUUUACAACCUUUGUAUGAUAAUCAUGUGAGAAAGUUACUGUUUGUCUACCAUAAACAGGCUAUGUAAACUAGUAACUCUA